rnacentral:rRNA from 1 species
AUGGCUAGGGCUCUAGUGUUUCUUGCGCUCUUGUGCCUUGUGACCUCUGCGCUGGUUUGCGUCGGCGAAGCGAGGAAGAUGGUUGGGGUGUACAUGCUCAAGAAAGGGGAUUUUUCAGUGAAGGUCACAAACUGGGGCGCCACUAUCAUGUCGAUCAUCCUCCCCGACAGCAAAGGGAAUUUGGCCGAUGUUGUGCUGGGUAAAGACACCCUCGCUGAAUAUGUUAACGAUACGGCCUACUUCGGGCCGCUGAGCGGGCGCGUAGCACAACGAAUGGCCAGAGGCCGGUUCGUCCUCGACGGCAAAGUAUACCACACGUACAUCAACGACGGCAGGAACGCCAUCCAUGGUGGCCACAGGGGAUUCAGCAAAGUCAUAUGGACGGUGAAGGAGUACGUCGCCGGCGGCGACUCCCCGUAUAUCACGCUGUACUACCGCAGCUUCGACGGGGAGCAAGGAUUCCCUGGGGACCUGGACGUGUACGCGACGUACCAGGUGUCGAGCCCGUACGUGCUGAGCAUCCGCACGAACGCGACGGCGUUGAACAAGGCGACGCCGGUGAACUUCCUGCAGCACGUGUACUUCAACCUGGGCGGGCAGGGCAGCGGCGACGUGCUGGGCCACACCCUCCAGCUCUCCGCGUCCCGGUACACCCCGAUGGACGAGGAGCUCCUCCCGUCGUCGGGCCGCGUCGACCCCGUGGCCGGCACCAACUACGACUUCCGGACGCCGACGCCCCUCGGCGCGCGCAUCCGGCAGGUCAUGGGCGGCAAGGGCGUCCGCGGGUACGACAUCAACUACGUGAUCGACGGGGCCGGCAUGCGGAGGGUGGCGGCGGUCCGGGACGGCACGUCCGGGCGCGCGCUGCAGCUGUGGGCCAACCAGCCAGCCAUGCAGCUCUACACCGGCAACGGGCUGAACAACACCAGGGGGAAGGGCGGCAUCGUGUACCGGCAGUACGCUGGGUUCUGCCUCGAGACGCAGGCGUACCCGGACGCCGUGAACCACCCAGAGUUCCCGUCGGUGACGGUGAGGCCCGGCCAGGUGUACAAGCACGACAUGCUCCUCAAGUUCUCCUUCUAA